UGUGCCUGAAACAGUGUCUGUAAAUUGAACCAUCAAAAAGCAAGGGAAUUAGCUGUGACAUUUUCCACUAUCAUUUUGCUGCUGCAGAUGUUUCAGAUUUCAUUUCAGGUUUCAUAUUUUUGGAUAAUGGCUCAACCUGUGCCUUCAAUCUGGAAUUGUACAAGGCAGAUAAAGAGUGUAUCCAACAACGUGCCUCUCACUAGCUGUGUUUUCUGAACAGCAUGAAUUGUGCAGUUUAUCAUGAAGUGCAUGGUGAACGGAUGUCGUGUGGCGAACAGAUGUCGUGUGGCAUAGUGUCUCUGACUCCCAAAGGCCAUGCAAUGGAGGGGUCGCACCGGCCAGAGGCAGGUGUGAAGCGGGGGAAGAGAAGAUAUUUCCGUGUGAUUAAAGCUUUCUAAAGCCCCACCCUGAAUAUGGUGUCACCAUUUCAGAAAGGAAACCCCCACCCUCCAUCCUUCAUCCAUUCACCUGGCAAGACCACCUGGGACACCCUUGUGAGGCUAUUGAGUCCCCUCCAACCCUCGACUCAGCACGAGAAAGCUCGUAGCAGCCAGAAUAAAGACAAAUGAAGAAUUCAAAAGUAAUAAAAAACGAGACUUCUAAGAAAAUAGAAGAGCUAAUGAAAGUAGGUUCCGAUGUUGAAUUGUUGCUCAGAACAUCUGUUAUACAAGGUAUUCACACAGACCACAAUACACUGCAAUUGGUUCCUAGGAAAGACCUUCUUAUAGAAAAUGUGCCAUAUUGUGAUGCACCAACUCAGAAGCAGUGAAUUUUUUAUGAUAAGACAAGUCUUUGUACUUUUUAACUUUAAAAUAUAUAACUCUGGCAAAAGGUCUGGGAAAUGUAGACAUUUUUCUCUGAACUGGCAUGUUGAAAAUGAAUGAAUUAGAGAACAGCUUCAUAUUUAAAUUUCAUGGUAAAAGGACAUUGCUGAGAAGUGUAGAAAUAGUUAAGUAUUUCUAAAGGAAAAUAGACAAGAAGACAUUUCCUUUUCAUUGAAAAUCAAACUUUAUAAAGUAAAAUAAAUGCUUAGAGAAAUACAUUCACUUCUCUUUGACCUUAAUUAAUAUUUGGGCUUACAAUAACUAUGUGAGAAUACAGUGUUUUGACAAGUUGGUGAGUUUUUCUCUCAUGUGAAAUGCAAUUAUUAGAUUUAAAUUAUUAGAUUAAAUUGAUAUUUAGUCCCUAAAAUUUUCAACUCGUCAAAAAAUCACGUGUGUACCAGUUCGCCACAGAAGGUAGCCUUUGUUUCCUAAAGCACUGGAAUUAUUUCUGUAGCUAACAAAUAAUUGUACAGUUUCUUUUUAAAGAUAGAAUCUCUGUGUUCUUAUAAAGAUUUUUUUAUCAGUCUUCUGAAAAUAGAGGAAUAAAAUAUCAAAUCUCCUAGGGUCACUAUGGAAUAAAGAAAUCCCAAAGUUUUUAGGAAAUAGUGGCCCUUGAGCAAUCUAUAUAAUAUGACCUUACUAGAAUUGGCUGUAUGUAGACCAAGUUAGAUUUUAUUGUGAAAAUGUAAUUUAUGGCUCCAUUCUCUUUGUUUUAAUCAGUGAAACGUCAGUGGCUUCUUUUCUUCCACGUGUCCCGCCCCUGAUGAGAUGGGCAGAAAGGGGUUGGCGUUCUACCGUCUAAUUCUAGGAACCAUAAAAUCGUAUUUAAUAUUCUUCUUGUUUCUUUUUUAUUUGUUGUCAAAGCAUACUGGUAUAUCCUUGCUGGGUAUGAUAUAUCAUGUUUGGAAGUAAUUUAAUUUUAGAUCAAAAACUUAUCAGAAUUAUUGAGACGUUAAACUACAGUCUCCCCUUAAUGCCUCCUAAUAAUUUUGA